rnacentral:rRNA from 1 species
UACGUAGGGUGCAAGCGUUGUCCGGAAUUAUUGGGCGUAAAGAGCUCGUAGGCGGUUUGUCGCGUCUGCUGUGAAAACCCAGGGCUCAACCCUGGGCCUGCAUUCGAUACGGGCAGACUAGAGUAUGGCAGGGGAGACUGGAAUUCCUGGUGUAGCGGUGAAAUGCGCAGAUAUCAGGAGGAACACCGGUGGCGAAGGCGGGUCUCUGGGCCAAAACUGACGCUGAGGAGCGAAAGCGUGGGGAGCGAACAGG